CUACGGGGCGCAGCAGUGAGGAAUAUUGCACAAUGGGGGGAACCCUGAUGCAGCAACGCCGCGUGGAGGAUGACGCAUUUCGGUGUGUAAACUCCUUUUAUAUGUCAAGAAAAUGACGGUAGCAUAUGAAUAAGCACCGGCUAACUCCGUGCCAGCAGCCGCGGUAAUACGGAGGGUGCAAGCGUUACUCAGAAUCACUGGGCGUAAAGGACGCGUAGGCGGGUUGGAAAGUCAGGUGUGAAAUCCUACAGCUUAACUGUAGAACUGCACUUGAAACUUCUAAUCUAGAGUAUGGGAGGGGGAGAUGGAAUUAGUGGUGUAGGGGUAAAAUCCGUAGAUAUCACUAGGAAUACCUAAAGCGAAGGCGAUCUCCUGGAACAUUACUGACGCUAAGGCGUGAAAGCGUGGGGAGCAAACAGGAUUAGUACCCUUGUAGUC
rnacentral:rRNA from 1 species